rnacentral:rRNA from 1 species
UGGGGAAUAUUGCACAAUGGGGGAAACCCUGAUGCAGCGACGCCGCGUGAGCGAUGAAGGCUUUCGAGUCGUAAAGCUCUGUCCUAUGGGAAGAUAAUGACGGUACCAUAGAAGAAAGCCCCGGCUAAUUACGUGCCAGCAGCCGCGGUAAUACGUAUGGGGCGAGCGUUGUCCGGAAUUAUUGGGCGUAAAGGGUACGUAGGUGGUUUUUUAAGUCAGGUGUCAAAGCGUGGAGCUUAACUCCAUUAAGCACUUGAAACUGAAAGACUUGAGUGAAGGAGAGGAAAGUGGAAUUCCUAGUGUAGCGGUGAAAUGCGUAGAUAUUAGGAGGAAUACCGGUGGCGAAGGCGACUUUCUGGACUUUUACUGACGCUCAGGUACGAAAGCGUGGGGAGCAAACAGG